rnacentral:rRNA from 1 species
AAUCACUCGAACUGAUGACGCCAGUGGACUAUAUUUUACGUGAGAGUAAAAAUUGCAAUAUGUGGUGGACCCAUACAUGGUCUUGACAUCCACAGAACUUAGCAGAGAUGCUUUGGUGCCUUCGGGAACUGUGAGACAGGUGCUGCAUGGCUGUCGUCAGCUCGUGUUGUGAAAUGUUGGGUUAAGUCCCGCAACGAGCGCAACCCUUAUCCUUUGUUGCCAGCGGUUAGGCCGGGAACUCAAAGGAGACUGCCAGUGAUAAACUGGAGGAAGGUGGGGAUGACGUCAAGUCAUCAUGGCCCUUACGACCAGGGCUACACACGUGCUACAAUGGCAUAUACAAAGAGAAGCGACCUCGCGAGAGCAAGCGGACCUCAUAAAGUAUGUCGUAGUCCGGAUUGGAGUCUGCAACUCGACUCCAUGAAGUCGGAAUCGCUAGUAAUCGUAGAUCAGAAUGCUACGGUGAAUACGUUCCCGGGCCUUGUACACACCGCCCGUCACACCAUGGGAGUGGGUUGCAAAAGAAGUAGGUAGCUUAACCUUCGGGAGGGCGCUUACCACUUUGUGAUUCAUGACUGGGGUGAAGUCGUAACAAGGUAACCGUAGGGGAACCUGCGGUUGGAUCACCUCCUUA